CCUACGGGAGGCAGCAGUAGGGAAUUUUCGUCAAUGGGCGCAAGCCUGAACGAGCAAUGCCGCGUGAACAAGGAAGGUCUUCGGAUCGUAAAGUUCUGUUGAAGGGGAAAAAGAGCGGAGAGAGGAAAUGGUCUCCGAUUGAAAUUACCCUUCGAGGAAGUCACGGCUAACUACGUGCCAGCAGCCGCGGUAAUACGUAGGUGGCGAGCGUUAUCCGGAAUGAUUGGGCGUAAAGGGUGCGUAGGCGGCCUGCUAAGUCUGGAGUGAAAGGUACCGGCUCAACCGGUACAGGCUCUGGAAACUGGCGGGCUAGAGAGCAGGAGAGGGCGGUGGAACUCCAUGGGUAGCGGUAAAAUGCGUAGAUAUAUGGAAGAACACCAGUGGCGAAGGCGGCCGCCUGGCCUGUUACUGACGCUGAGGCACGAAAGCGUGGGGAGCAAAUAGGAUUAGAUACCCUGGUAGUC
rnacentral:rRNA from 1 species